GGGAGGUGCAAGCGUUAAUCGGAAUCACUGGGCGUAAAGCGCGCGUAGGCGGUUAGAUAAGUCGGGUGUGAAAGCCCCGGGCUCAACCUGGGAACUGCAUUCGAUACUGUCUGACUAGAGUGUGAUAGAGGGAGGCGGAAUUCCGCAUGUAGCGGCGAAAUGCGUAGAGAUGCGGAGGAACACCAAUGGCGAAGGCAGCCUCCUGGAUUAACACUGACGCUGAGGCGCGAAAGCGUGGGGGGAGCAAACAGGAUUAGAUACCCUGGUAGUCCACGCCGUAAACGAUGUCAACUAGCCGUUGGGAGCAAUUUGGCUCUUGGUGGCGCAGCUAACGCGAUAAGUUGACCGCCUGGGGAGUACGGUCGCAAGAUUAA
rnacentral:rRNA from 1 species